GGAAAAAUGAUGGAGCUGUUGCACUUUCUGAUCAAAGGCUUUUCUCUUGUGUUACAUGUGGAGUCUUAAGCUUUGAUUGUGUAGCUAUUGUUCAACCUAAAGAAGCAGCAGCUAGAUAUCUCAUGUCUGCAGAUUGUAGCUUCUUCAAUGAUUGGACAGCUGCUUCCGGAUCUGCAAAUCUUGGUCAGGCUGCUAGAUCACUUCAUCCGCGUAGGUUACAUGUCGCACUUUCUGUUAAUGGCUGUUAUUUUAGCAUUUACUAACUUUGUUUCAUCAUGCAGAAAGUACCGAAAAGCAUGAUGUAAAUUACUUCUACAAUGAUCCUGUUCAAACUAUGGAUCAUUCAAUGAAGACUGGCGAUCAAAGAACUUCAACAACUUCCCUGACAAUGGCGCAUAAAGAUAAUGGUGCUCUUGGGCUGUUAGCUUCGGCAUAUGGAGACUCUUCUGAUUCCGAGGAAGAAGGUCAAAAAGGCUUAGAUGUCCCUACUUCCGAAGGGGAAACGAAAAAGUAUGAUCAAGAAGAUGCAGAUGGCAAUGAGGAGGCUAGAGAUGGUCGAACUUCAGAUUUUAACAGCCAGAGACUUACCAGCGAACAGAAUAGGUUAAGCAAAGGCGGAAAUUCAUCACUUCUGGAAAUAGCUUUACCAUUUAUUCCAAGAUCUGAUGACGAUUCAUGUCGGUUGCACGUGUUUUGUCUUGAGCAUGCUGCGGAAGUGGAACAGCAACUUCGUCCUUUUGGGGGGAUUCACAUAAUGCUACUAUGCCAUCCAGGUAACAGCAAAACUACACGAAUCAUUUUUAUUAGUCUUGUGACUUGGUUUGUUUUUUUCUGUAUUUAUAAGGCAAAUUUUUUAGUCUUUUUCAUCAUUUAGAGUCACAAUAUUUGCAGAGUACCCCAGGAUAGAGGCUGAAGCAAAGAUAGUUGCCGAAGAGCUUGUCAUAAAUCACGAAUGGAAUGAUACUGAAUUCAGGAAUGUGACCCGAGAGGAUGAGGAAACGAUUCAGGCAGCGUUGGAUAAUGUGGAACCUAAGGGUGGGAACAGUGAUUGGACUGUAAAAUUGGGUAUUAACCUUUCUUACAGCGCUAUUCUCAGUCGCUCUCCUCUGUACAGUAAGCAGAUGCCGUACAACUCUGUCAUAUACAAUGCAUUCGGUCGCAGCUCUCCAGCAACAAGCUCACCCUUGAAACCGGAAGUCUCUGGUAAAAGAUCUUCCAGACAGAGGAAAUAUGUUGUUGGAAAAUGGUGUGGUAAGGUUUGGAUGUCGCAUCAGGUACUAUUGUCUAACCUGAAACCAUACUAAUUCAGACAUUAGUACACUUCUAUUUCUGCUUGAUUUGGUUCAAUAUUAAGACUCCUUUUUCUUUUCUUUCUUCAGGUGCAUCCCUUUUUGCUGGAGCAGGACUUAGAGGGGGAAGAAUCUGAAAGGAAUUGUCAUCUGCGUGGUGCUCUGGUUGAGGAUGUCACUAGAACGGGAUUGCUUCCUUGUAAUGUCUCUAGAGAUGCAACUACAAUGUUUGGAAGAAAGUAUUGUAGGAAGAGAAAGGUCAGGGCAAAGGCUGUGCCACGCAAGAAGCUGACUUCUUUUAAGAGGGAAGAUGGAGUUUCUGAUGACACAUCAGAAGAUCAUUCUUAUAAGCAGCAAUGGAGGGCUUCCGGGAAUGAGGAAGAGUCUUAUUUUGAGACAGGGAAUACAGUUUCUGGUGAUUCGUCAAAUCAAAUGUCUGAUCAGCAGCUCAAGGGAAUUCGUCGACACAGGGGUGUUAAAGAAUUUGAGUCGGAUAAUGAGGUUUCAGACCGUUCACUUGGGGAAGAAUAUACUGUAAGGGGAUGUGCAGCUUCAGAGAGCUCAAUGGAGAAUGGCUUUCAGCAGUCAAUGUAUGAUGAUGAUGAUGAUGAUGAUGAUAUCGACAGGCACCCUAGGGGAAUUCCAAGGAGCGAACGGAUUGCAGUUUUUAGGAAUCCAGUUUCAUAUGAUUCAGAAGAAAAUGGCAUUUAUCAUCAAAGGGGAAGAGUAUCCCGAAGUAAUAGGCAAGCUAAUCGAAUGGGUGGUGAAUAUGAUUCAGAAGAGAAUUCUUUGGAGGAACAAGACUUUUGCAGUACAGGGAAAAGGCAAACCAGGUCCACAGCCAAACGAAAAGUUAAAAUCGAGACAGUUCGGAGUCCGAGAGACACAAAAGGUCGCACUUUGCAAGAAUUUGCAUCUGGAAAGAAGAAUGAAGAAUUGGAUUCAUACAUGGAGGGACCUAGCACACGGCUUAGGGUGAGAAACCUGAAGCCGUUGAGAGCGGCUUCAGAAACAAAGCCAAAGAAGAUUGGUAAGAAGAGAAGUGGUAAUGCUUCCUUCUCCAGAGUUGCAACUGAAGAAGAUAUGGAGGAAGAUGAAGAAGCAGAGAAUGAGGAAGAGGAAUGUGCAGCGUACCAAUGUGACAUGGAGGGUUGCACAAUGAGUUUCAGUUCGGAAAAACAGUUGACAUUGCAUAAAAGAAACAUCUGCCCUGUUAAAGGCUGUGGUAAAAACUUCUUCUCACACAAGUAUUUGGUUCAACACCAGCGAGUUCACUCAGACGACCGUCCUCUGAAAUGCCCAUGGAAGGGCUGUAAGAUGACGUUCAAGUGGGCUUGGUCAAGAACUGAGCACAUAAGGGUUCACACAGGCGCUAGGCCUUAUGUUUGCGCUGAACCAGGUUGUGGUCAGACAUUCCGGUUUGUCUCAGAUUUUAGCCGGCAUAAAAGGAAGACCGGUCAUUCGGUAAAGAAGACCAAGAAAAGGUAAUUUAGGCUCUAACAUUGGAAUCUUUCAUGAAGAGAUUACUCCAUUGAUCUAUUAGAAGAAGAUUGGAUUGUAGGGAUUUUAGGGGUUUUCUAAGUGUGUAUGUCUCUCUGGUCCUUUGUCUUUUUGGGAUUAUUAUUCAGUCAAAAGUCUUAACAUUUGGAAGAGCCAUUGUUUGUUGCAGCAUUUUCACUUUCAGACAGAUUAUCUCUUUGUUGUACUAUUGUCUACUUUGCAAUUGAAUGAAUCUGUAGCAAAUCCUGGUGUAGGAAAAGUAUUGGGUUACUGUUACUUAAAUAAAUUUGACAUAUAUGGUUGUCUACGUGGCUUAUCCUUGUUGGUUGAUUAUGUGCAUCGCCGUGGACUUCAUUUGACCUUGAUAAAGACUCAACCUACCAAAUUGCUAAUGAAUGACAUUACCUAUGUCAACUUAUAGUUAAAACCGAAUAAUACAAAAUAUAAGAAAAAUAACCAAAAAUAUAGGAAUUACCAAAAUAAAAUUAUACCGUAGUUAAAAUCAGUACUAGGUGUUUUUUUGCUAAACAAAAAUGUUAAACCAGAAAAAGAGUAACUUUUGCGCAAAACGGGAAAACAAGACAACAAGAAAUGUGUGUAUAACUCACAAAAUGGCAGAAUCGUAAAUAGUAAAAAAAAAGGGUCUACUCAUUGCUGUUUCACCUGUUUGGUGCAAAGAGAUUAAAUUUAAAAAAGCAAUAAAACAAAACAGAGAAAUGAGAGAAAUCACAAUCUCAGAAAGACUUGCUCUGCCCAAAACCCAACCCCUCUCUCAAAAAAUACAAUUGUUUCCUCUGUUUCUUUAAUCCAAAUUAAAAACAGAGUCGCAAAAAGAAUCGAAAGAUCAAGCCCUUCGUUUUGUUCGAGGUCCCUAAAGUACAUAGAUGACCCUUUAACCAAAACUAAAAGCCCUUUUGGAGAAGAGAGACCGACUCAUCGAAUCUCUUUUAUUAACUCUGCUUCCUUUUCGUCCAUUUUUUUUGUUCUGUUUUCUCUGUAAUAGCGUUUUAAUGUGUACCCAGAAGCUAAAAGCCUGAAAGGCUGAAAGUGAACUAAUUUUGAGUGAAAGGUUAUAACUUUUUGUGCUUUCGAUGGCGGUUUCAGAGCAGAGUCAAGACGUAUUUCCAUGGCUUAAAUCGUUACCGGUUGCUCCAGAGUUCAGACCUACUUUAGCAGAGUUUCAAGAUCCGAUCGCCUACAUUUUUAAGAUCGAAGAAGAAGCUUCUAGAUAUGGAAUCUGUAAAAUUCUGCCUCCACUGCCUCCUCCUUCUAAAAAAACCUCAAUUUCUAACCUCAACCGUUCUCUGGCGGCAAGAGCGGCGGCGAGGGUUCGUGACGGCGGAGAGAGUUCGUUCGAUUAUGACGGUGGUCCCACAUUCGCCACGCGGCAACAGCAGAUCGGUUUUUGCCCUAGGAAGCAGCGUCCCGUGCAGAGACCUGUGUGGCAGAGCGGAGAGCAUUACAGUUUUGGUGAGUUCGAGGCCAAAGCUAAGACCUUUGAGAAGAAUUAUCUGAAGAAAUGUGGCAAAAAGAGUCAACUCUCUGCCCUAGAAAUCGAAACACUUUACUGGAGAGCAACAGUGGAUAAACCCUUCUCUGUUGAGUAUGCCAAUGACAUGCCAGGUUCGGCUUUUAUCCCUCUGAGUCUGGCAGCUGCGAGGAGGAGAGAGUAUGGUGGCGAUGGAGGAACAGUUGGUGAGACAGCUUGGAACAUGAGGGCAAUGUCUAGAGCCGAAGGAUCAUUGCUUAAGUUCAUGAAGGAGGAGAUUCCUGGAGUUACAUCACCAAUGGUGUAUAUUGCUAUGAUGUUUAGUUGGUUUGCUUGGCAUGUGGAGGAUCAUGACCUUCAUAGUCUCAAUUACUUGCAUAUGGGUGCUGGUAAGACUUGGUACGGUGUGCCAAAGGAUGCUGCUGUGGCUUUUGAGGAGGUGGUUAGGGUUCAUGGUUAUGGUGGAGAGCUUAAUCCUCUUGGUGAGUUUACUUUUCCUCCAAAUACUUAUUGCUUACAUUGUCACUUGUGUAAAGACGAUGGUUGGUUUUUGUUUCAAACUUGAGUCGACUUUUGAAGGAUUCUGAAACUUGGUUAAUUUCAGUACAUUGUUGGCAUGUUUGUGUCUCUAUCAUUGUGUGUUGCUUUUUUCCAAAAGUUGACCAAGAAGUAGAUAUUUAUGAAUCUAUUGCUGUCUUCUCAGUGACCAUUUCUACUCUUGGUGAGAAGACAACUGUGAUGUCACCUGAAGUUUUUGUUAAAGCUGGAAUACCUUGUUGCAGGUAAUGUUUUUCUUGUGUGUGCUCUGUUAUCUCUUUCUGCUUAAUUCUAUUCUACUCGUUUCAGUUGAUUAGAAACAUCCAGAGGCACUAUCUCUUGGUUUCCACUCAAGUUAUUUGCUUGUUAUCAGGUUAGUACAAAAUCCUGGAGAGUUUGUCGUCACUUUUCCAAGAGCAUAUCAUUCAGGGUUUAGUCACGGUGAGCGAAUGACAUUAAGUCUCUUUCAAGAGUCAAUCAUUCAAGGCUUCACAUGUUGAAACUAACUUAUAUUAUCCGGAAAAUAAUAAAAAAAUCUUUGGGGGUUUUAGGAUUCAAUUGUGGAGAAGCAUCUAACAUUGCAACUCCCGAAUGGUUGAGAGUGGCUAAAGAUGCUGCUAUCCGCCGAGCUGCUAUAAAUUACCCUCCAAUGGUUUCUCAUCUCCAGUUACUAUAUGACUAUGCAUUGGCUCUAGGUUCUAGGUACUUGUUUCUUUUUCAUCAUCACUCUCCAACUUUUAAACUGCUUGAAAGAUUCAUAUAAGGUGUGUUUCACUCAUUGCAGAGUGCCAACAAGCAUCAACACCAAACCACGGAGUUCUAGAUUGAAAGAUAAGAAAAGAAGCGAAGGAGAAAGAUUGACCAAAAAGCUGUUUGUGCAAAACAUUAUCCACAACAAUGAAUUGCUUUCUUCUCUCGGAAAAGGAUCCCCUGUGGCCCUUCUCCCACAGAGUUCUUCAGAUAUAUCAGUUUGUUCUGACCUACGAAUUGGAUCCAAUUUGAUAACUAACCAGGAAAACCCAAUCCAAUUAAAGUCUGAGGACUUAAGUUCUCAUAGUGUUAUGGUCGGUCUCAACAACGGUUUAAAGAAUACAGUUUCAGUAAAAGAAAAGUUUACAUCUUUAUGUGAAAGGAACAGAAAUCAUCUGGCAAGCAGUGAGAAGGAAACUCAAGAAACUCUGUCUGAUGCUGAAAGGAGGAAAAAUGAUAGAGCUGUUGCGCUUUCGGAUCAAAGGCUUUUCUCUUGUGUUACAUGUGGAGUCUUAAGCUUUGAUUGUGUAGCUAUUGUUCAACCUAAAGAAGCAGCAGCUAGAUAUCUCAUGUCUGCAGAUUGUAGCUUCUUCAAUGAUUGGACAGUUGUUUCCGGGUCUGCAAAUCUUGGUCAGGCUGCAAGAUCACUUCAUCUGCGUUAGUUACAAGCCACUUUUCCUGUUAAUGGCUAUUAUUUAACAUUUACCAACUUUGUUUCACCAUGCAGAAAGCACGGAAAAGCAUGAUAUGGAUUUCUUCUACAAUGUUCCUUCUCAAACUACGGAUCACUCAAUGAAUACAGGUGACCAAAAAACUUCAACAGUGUCUCUAACAACAGCUCAUAAAAAAGAUGGUGCUCUUAGUUUGUUAGCUUCAGCGUAUGGAGAUUCUUCUGAUUCUGAGGAAGAAGGUCACAAAGUCUUAGAUGCUUUUGUCUCGGAAGAUAGAAAGUAUGACCAAAGUGGUUCUUGUGCAUAUGAAGCAUCAUCUUUUGACACAGAUGGCAAAGAGGAGGCUAGAGAUGGUCAAUCUUCUGAUUCUAACAGACAAAGACUUGUAUGUAGGAAAGAGACAGGGGUUGUUCAGGGCUCAAAUGCUACUUCUACUUGUUCGACGCUUUCUUGCACCACUGAACAUAGUAGGUUAAGGAAAGGCAGCAAUACAUCUCUACCCUUUGUUCCAAGAUCUGAUAACGAUUCUUCUCGGUUGCACGUGUUUUGUCUUGAGCAUGCUGCAGAAGUGGAACAGAAACUCCUUCCUAUUGGGGGAAUUCAUUUAAUGUUACUGUCCCAUCCAGGUAACAGCAAACUACAAGAUUCAUUUUUAUUAGUCUUGUGACAUAUUUUAAGUGUUUUCACCUCUAAGGCGCACAAAAUUUUCAGAGUACCCCAGGAUAGAGGCUGAAGCAAAGAUAGUUUCCGAAGAGCUCGUUAUCAAUCACGAUUGGAAUGAUACUGAAUUCAGGAAUGUGACCCGAGAGGAUGAGGAAACGAUUCAGGCAGCGUUGGAUAAUGUUGAAGCUAAGGCUGGGAACAGUGAUUGGACUGUAAAAUUGGGUAUUAACCUUUCUUACAGUGCUAUUCUCAGUCGCUCUCCUCUGUACAGUAAACAAAUGCCUUACAACUCCGUCAUAUACAAUGCAUUCGGUCGCAGCUCUCCAGCAAAAAGCUCACCCUUGAAACCCGAAAUCUUUGGUAGAAGAUCUUCCAGACAGAGGAAAUAUGUUGUUGGAAAAUGGUGUGGUAAGGUUUGGAUGUCGCAUCAGGUACAAUUGUCUAACCUGAAUCCAUACUCAUUCAGACAUUAGUACACUUCUGUUUCUGCUUGGUUUGGUUCAAUAUUCAGACUGCUUUUUCUUUUCUUUCUUCAGGUGCAUCCCUUUUUGCUGGAGCAGGACUUAGAGGGGGAAGAAUCUGAAAGAAGUUGUCAUCUCCGAGCUGCUAUGGAUGAGGAUGCCGCUGGAAAGAGAUUUUUUCCUAAUAAUGUUUCUAGAGAUGCAACAACAAUGUUUGGAAGAAAGUACUGUAGGAAGAGAAAGGUCAGGGCAAAGACUGUGCCACGCAAGAAGCUUACUUCUUUUAAGAGGGAAGAUGGAGUUUCUGAUGACACAUCAGAAGAUCAUUCUUAUAAGCAGCAAUGGAGGGCUUCCGGGAAUGAGGAAGAGUCUUAUUUUGAGACAGGGAAUACAGUUUCUGGUGAUUCGUCAAAUCAAAUGUCUGAUCAGCAGCUCAAGGGAAUUCGUCGACACAGGGGUGUUAAAGAAUUUGAGUCCAAUGAUGAGGUUUCAGAUCGUUCACUUGGAGAAGAAUAUGCUGUAAGGGAACGUGCAAUUUCAGAGAGCUCAACGGAGAAUAGCUUUCAGCUAUAUGGACAUUCAAUCGACGAUAAUGCUUUGGAGGGCUCUUUAUAUGGUCAUGAUGAUAAUAAACUCUACAAGCACCCUAAGGGUCUUCCAAGGAGCAAACAGACUAAUGUGUUUAGGAAUCCGGUUUCAUAUGAUUCAGAGGAAAAUGAUGUUUAUCAGCAAAGGGGAAAUAUUCAAGCUAGUCGAAUAGGUGGUGAGUAUGAGUCAGAAGAGGAUUCUCUGGAGGAAGAGGACUUUUGCAGUACAAGGAAAAGACAAACAAGGUCUACAGCUAAACGAAAAGUAAAAACCGAGAUAGUUCAGAGUCCGAGAGAGACGAAUAAAGAAUUCGAUUCAUACAUGGAAGGACCUAGCACACGGCUUAGGGUGAAAAUCCCAAAGCCCUCAAGAGUGUCUUCAGAAACAAAAGCAAAGAAAAUUGGUAAGAAAGGAAGUCGUAAUGCUUCCUUCUCCAGAGUUGCAACUGAAGAAGAUGUGGAGGAAGAAGAAGAAGAAGAAGAAAAAGAGAAUGAGGAAGAGGAAUGUGCGGCGUACCAAUGUGACAUGGAGGGUUGCACAAUGAGUUUUAGUUCGGAAAAACAGUUGACAUUGCAUAAAAGAAACAUCUGCCCUGUUAAAGGCUGUGGUAAAAACUUCUUCUCACACAAGUAUUUGGUUCAACACCAGCGAGUUCACUCAGACGACCGUCCUCUGAA
rnacentral:lncRNA from 1 species